UGUGUAGGCGGCUCCUUAAGUUUGGUGUGAAAUCUCCUGGCUCAACUGGGAGGGUGCGCCGAAUACUGAUGGGCUAGAGUGCGGGAGAGGAAAGUGGAAUUCCUGGUGUAGCGGUGAAAUGCGUAGAUAUCAGGAGGAACACCGGUGGUGUAGACGGCUUUCUGGACCGUAACUGACGCUGAAACACGAAAGCGUGGGUAGCAAACAGGAUUAGAUACCCUGGUAGUCCACGCCCUAAACGAUGCAUAUUUGGUGUGGGUCAUUCAGUUGAUCCGUGCCGGAGCUAACGCGUUAAAUAUGCCGCCUGGGGAGUACAGUCGCAAGGCUGAA
rnacentral:rRNA from 1 species